CUCGAAGAGUGGAGAAACUUUCAACAUUGUUUUCAUUCAGCACCAGAGACUGAACAGGAUGACAUCUCCAAAGUUUGUCUUCAAUCUGACACAUAUUGAAGACAAACUUCUCAUAUAUUUUGAUUGUGUUCUUUACAUGUUCUUGUGGAAAAUUGGGCACUGAACAUUUGUUUCGUGUUUUCAAAACAGGACAUUAAUUGUGAUUGGCCAGUCAAACACAGUCUUCUCAGACAAGAGGAACCAGCAUACUCAUUGUAUCUUCAGAAGCACGAUGGCAACUCCAAACUUUGUUUUGUGCUUCACAUGUUUACUUGUGGUGAAUAUGGCUCACACAACAGCUUUAAAGCAGUCAUCAUUACAUUUUCUAUCACCCAAUGUUGGGGAAAGCGUCACUUUGUCCUGCUCCUGUCUUGAUGAUGUAUCAGUAAUGUUUUACUGGUAUAAGCAAACUGCGGGACUGAACCCUAAGCUGGUGUCUUCAUUCUACAGUUAUAAUGCUAACAGCACCUUUCAUGAUGAAUUUAAGAAUCCACGUUUCUCUGCUGACAUUGAAAACCUUAAAUAUCAGCUGAAGAUUUCAGAUUUACAAAUUUCAGACUCAGGUACUUACUACUGUAUAGGGAGCAAUUCACAUUUACUUAAGUUUUGUGAGGGCACAACCGUCACCAUAAAGGGUUCAGGUUUGGACAUCCCAGCUUUGGUCCAUCAGUCAGCAUCUGAGACCAUCCAGCCAGGAGGCUCUGUGACUCUGAACUGUACAGUACACAAUGGGACCUGUGAUGGAGAACACAGUGUUUACUGGUUCAAAAACUCUGGAGAAUCUCAUCCAGGACUCAUUUACACCCAUGGAGGCAGGAAUGAUCAGUGUGAGAGGAAUCCCAACACACAAACACACUCCUGUGUCUACAGUUUGCCAUUGAAGAGCCUGAAUCGCUCUCGUGCUGAGACCUUCUCCUGUGCUGUUGCUUCGUGUGGACACAUACUGUUUGGAGACGAGAUCAAGUUUGACUUUGAGAAUGAGGUGGACUCUCUUGUGUAUAUCUUGAGCGGAGCUUUGGCAUUGACCACCAUCCUGGUUGUGUUACUGGCUUUCACUGUGUACAAGAUGAACAAGAGGAGCUGCCAAUAUACAGAGCCUAAUGAGACAUUUUCAACAACUUCUGCUCCAAAUGCAGCGCCAUGUCAAGACACAGAGAACCUUCAUUACGCUGCUUUAAGGGAUCUCAAGGCCAAUCGAUCCAGAAGACAGAAGAGCAACACCAAUGAUGAAUGUGUGUAUUCCAGUGUAAAGCAGUAGACCUGGCCGUGUUUCUAUAUUAUGUUUCAUAACAAGACAUUUUUUUAUUCGUAGUUAGAAUUUUCCUGAAACAUGAACACCUGAUAGGACUUCACCAUGCAAUGUCCAUCUAUCCAUCCAUUUUCUAUACCGCUUAUCCGUCAUGGUCGCGGGGAAGCUGGAGCCUAUCCCAGCUGACUACGGGCGAGAGGCGGGGUUCACCCUGGACUGGUCGCCAGUCAAUCGCAGACCCACCAUGCAAUGUCAAUGAACAUAAAGGCUUGUUCUGUAUUAGAUUACCACAGAAAGAAAGUCUUGUGUCAGAGUUUCUCUGAAUUGAUGGCAGCUGUGAAACAUAAGCUGAUUUCCACCAUUUGUCACCAGACUAUAAAUAAAAGAUAAAUAAUAAUAACAGAAAAAAUAAAGUGAGGACAUGUCAAAGCCUGUCUGUUCUUUGUCUCUGCUGUUUCAUGCAGGAUGUCUCCAUGUACAUCAGUGACUCUCAGUUUCUCUCUGAAUCUGACCUACAGAUCCUGUCCACAACAGAAGCAUUUUGAUCCUUUACUUCAGUCGAAGAACAGAUGGCACAAUAGUUGAUGUUGU